AUACUUACCUGGCAGGGGCAAUACCAUGAUCACGAAGGUGCUUUUCCCAGGGUGAGGCUUAUCCGGAUGUGCUGACCCCUGCCAUUUCCCCAAAUGUGGGAAACUCGACUGCAUAAUUUGUGAUGGUGGGACUGCAUUGUGCUCUCUCCUA
rnacentral:snRNA from 1 species